UGCAUGACAGCAAGGACAGACGAAAAAGAGAAGACAACGUGUUGGUCUGUUCCACAUCUUGUUGCCCUUAAGGUUACUUAAAGCUAAUUAAAUUAACUACAAAAUAGCGGAAUCUAUUAGAGGCAUUACGAUUAACUACUGAUUACCGAGAGAGUAGAAGGUUAUGUGAACCGUAGGUGAUAUUAAGUGUGGCCUACAUAAGAUCUGAGAUGAUUUAACUGCGGAGAGCAUAAUGAAUUUGCUUAUUAACUAUUAUAGCGUGAAGUAAAAGAAUAAGUUGGAUAGAAGUGAAAAAGGUGAAGGGAAUAAGGGAAACUAAACGAAGUUUUUAAUCCUUCCGCAUCAAAUAAAAGGAGUUAAAAUCACGGAAAAUCCUUGUUCCUUCGACAUAAAUCCAACAGUAUCAAUUACAAUAAUAGACGUGUAAUGUAGCUUUAGAAAACAUAAUAUGCGGAAAAUUGAAACAAUUUCUUCGGACUACGGAUAAUCGAAUCAUUUUCUACAGAUAA